rnacentral:rRNA from 1 species
AUUGAACGCUGGCGGCAGGCCUAACACAUGCAAGUCGAACGAGCGGCGGACGGGUGAGUAAUGUCUGGGAAACUGCCCGAUGGAGGGGGAUAACUACUGGAAACGGUAGCUAAUACCGCAUACCAUCGGAUGUGCCCAAAUGGGAUUAUCUAGUAGGUGGGGUAAAGGCUCACCUAGGCGACGAUCCCUAGCUGGUCUGAGAGGAUGACCAGCCACACUGGAACGGAGAAACGGUCCAGACUCCUACGGGAGGAAGCAGUGGGGAAUAUUGCACAAUGGGCGCAAGCCUGAUACAGCCAUGCCGCGUGUAUGAAGAAGGCCUUCGGGUUGUAAAGUACUUUCAGUCGGGAGGCGUUACCAGCAGAAGAAGCACCGGCUAACUCCGUGCCAGCAGCCGCGGUAAUUC